rnacentral:rRNA from 1 species
GACGAACGCUGGCGGCGUGCUUAACACAUGCAAGUCGAACGGAAAGGCCCUGCUUUUGUGGGGUGCUCGAGUGGCGAACGGGUGAGUAACACGUGAGUAACCUGCCCUUGACUUUGGGAUAACUUCAAGAAACUGGGGCUAAUACCGGAUAGAAGCUCCUGCUGCAUGGUGGGGGUUGGAAAGUUUCGGCGGUUGGGGAUGGACUCGCGGCUUAUCAGCUUGUUGGUGGGGUAGUGGCUUACCAAGGCUUUGACGGGUAGCCGGCCUGCGAGGGUGACCGGCCACAUUGGGACUGAGAUACGGCCCAGACUCCUACGGGAGGCAGCAGUGGGGAAUAAUGCACAAUGGGCGGAAGCCUGAUGCAGCAACGCCGCGUGCGGGAUGACGGCCGUCGGGUUGUAAACCGCUUUCGCCUGUGACGAAGCGUGAGUGACGGUAAUGGGUAAAGAAGCACCGGCUAACUACGUG